GGAUGGACCCGCGUCUGAUUAGCUGGUUGGUGAGGUAACGGCUCACCAAGGCGACGAUCAGUAGCCGGCUUGAGAGAGUGAACGGCCACAUUGGGACUGAGACACGGCCCAGACACCUACGGGUGGCAGCAGUCGAGAAUCAUUCACAAUGGGGGCAACCCUGAUGGUGCGACGCCGCGUGGGGGAAUGAAGGUCUUCGGAUUGUAAACCCCUGUCAUGUGGGAGCAAAUUAAAAAGAUAGUACCACAAGAGGAAGAGACGGCUAACUCUGUGCCAGCAGCCGCGGUAAUACAGAGGUCUCAAGCGUUGUUCGGAAUCACUGGGCGUAAAGCGUGCGUAGGCUGUUUCGUAAGUCGUGUGUGAAAGGCAGGGGCUCAACCCCUGGAUUGCACAUGAUACUGCGAGACUAGAGUAAUGGAGGGGGAACCGGAAUUCUCGGUGUAGCAGUGAAAUGCGUAGAUAUCGAGAGGAACACUCGUGGCGAAGGCGGGUUCCUGGACAUUAACUGACGCUGAGGCACGAAGGCCAGGGGAGCGAAAGGGAUUAGAUACCCCUGUAGUCCUGGCAGUAAACGGUGCACGCUUGGUGUGCGGGGAAUCGACCCCCUGCGUGCCGGAGCUAACGCGUUAAGCGUGCCGCCUGGGGAGUACGGUCGCAAGAUUAAAACUCAAAGAAAUUGACGGGGACCCGCACAAGCGGUGGAGUAUGUGGCUUAAUUCGAUGCAACGCGAAGAACCUUACCUGGGCUUGACAUGUAAUGAACAACAUGUGAAAGCAUGCGACUCUUCGGAGGCGUUACACAGGUGCUGCAUGGCCGUCGUCAGCUCGUGUCGUGAGAUGUUUGGUUAAGUCCAGCAACGAGCGCAACCCUUAUGGUCAGUUACUACGCAAGAGGACUCUGGCCAGACUGCCGUUGACAAAACGGAGGAAGGUGGGGAUGACGUCAAAUCAUCAUGCCCUUUAUGACUUGGGCUACACACGUACUACAAUGGCGUUAAACAAAGAGAAGCAAGACCGCGAGGUGGAGCAAAACUCUGAAACAACGUCCCAGUUCGGACUGCAGGCUGCAACUCGCCUGCACGAAGUCGGAAUUGCUAGUAAUCGUGGAUCAGCAUGCCACGGUGAAUACGUUCCCGGGCCUUGCACACACCGCCCGUCA
rnacentral:rRNA from 1 species